rnacentral:rRNA from 1 species
GACGUGCUAAUCUGCGAUAAGCGUCGGUAAGGUGAUAUGAACCGUUAUAACCGGCGAUUUCCGAAUGGGGAAACCCAGUGUGAUUCGUCACACUAUCAUUAACUGAAUCCAUAGGUUAAUGAGGCGAACCGGGGGAACUGAAACAUCUAAGUACCCCGAGGAAAAGAAAUCAACCGAGAUUCCCCCAGUAGCGGCGAGCGAACGGGGAGCAGCCCAGAGCCUGAAUCAGUGUGUGUGUUAGUGGAAGCGUCUGGAAAGGCGCGCGAUACAGGGUGACAGCCCCGUACACAAAAAUGCACAUACUGUGAGCUCGAUGAGUAGGGCGGGACACGUGGUAUCCUGUCUGAAUAUGGGGGGACCAUCCUCCAAGGCUAAAUACUCCUGACUGACCGAUAGUGAACCAGUACCGUGAGGGAAAGGCGAAAAGAACCCCGGCGAGGGGAGUGAAAAAGAACCUGAAACCGUGUACGUACAAGCAGUGGGAGCACGCUUAGGCGUGUGACUGCGUACCUUUUGUAUAAUGGGUCAGCGACUUAUAUUCUGUAGCAAGGUUAACCGAAUAGGGGAGCCGAAGGGAAACCGAGUCUUAACUGGGCGUUAAGUUGCAGGGUAUAGACCCGAAACCCGGUGAUCUAGCCAUGGGCAGGUUGAAGGUUGGGUAACACUAACUGGAGGACCGAACCGACUAAUGUUGAAAAAUUAGCGGAUGACUUGUGGCUGGGGGUGAAAGGCCAAUCAAACCGGGAGAUAGCUGGUUCUCCCCGAAAGCUAUUUAGGUAGCGCCUCGUGAAUUCAUCUCCGGGGGUAGAGCACUGUUUCGGCAAGGGGGUCAUCCCGACUUACCAACCCGAUGCAAACUGCGAAUACCGGAGAAUGUUAUCACGGGAGACACACGGCGGGUGCUAACGUCCGUCGUGAAGAGGGAAACAACCCAGACCGCCAGCUAAGGUCCCAAAGUCAUGGUUAAGUGGGAAACGAUGUGGGAAGGCCCAGACAGCCAGGAUGUUGGCUUAGAAGCAGCCAUCAUUUAAAGAAAGCGUAAUAGCUCACUGGUCGAGUCGGCCUGCGCGGAAGAUGUAACGGGGCUAAACCAUGCAC